UUCAAACCAUUAACAUGUAUUCGGAUUAGAUCAUUCCCCUUCUCCACCUUUGGUCUAAACACAACGUCUCCGCCGCACCGAAAAUUGCUUCCAACGGCGGCGGAGGGCUAAACCACACCAACCUUAUGUCAAUCACUUUGUUUCACUCUAUUCUAUCCAAAUCUACUAUCCAUUCUUCCUAAUUCCUAACCAUUAAUCCAAACCGAAAUGAAAUGCUCAAGAACCCUAGCUACUGAUAUUCACAACUAAACUCUAAAAUAGAGGAAUCAAGGCUUCUAUUGUUAGGGUUUUAAUUCCUCAUAUCAAACCCUACAUGGUGGUAACAAGAACUAGGGGGAAACGGAGGAAAACUGAGAGAUCCUACCCUUGAAGAUAACAACGAAGACUAGUACGAAUUGAAGUCCAAAGAUGAAGAUGAAGAUGAUGCAAGUUGAUGCACAUAUGAUGAAAGGAGGCAAGGCUUGAUCAAAGUGUUUCAACAAGGCUUGGUAAGGCAUGGCCAAGAUUGGUAUGACAUCAAGUUUGAAGAAGUUUUGGAGAGAUACUUGUAAAUGAAGAAAAGUGGAAUGUAAUUAGGGUUAGGAUUUAGUGGUUAUGAAGUUGACUUUGGCCAACUGGUUGACCAAAGUUAACUGUAGGUCAAAAAAUGUAUUUUUUUUCUAUAGGUUUUGAUUUUUUUUGGAUGUAAUGGCUUGUAAUGUAAAGAAUAAUUGAAAACAAAAAAAGGAUGACUUUGUAUGGUUUGUUCUCAAUGAGUUUGUCACUUGACUUUGUGUUGAUCUUCUGAA